CUCGUAGUAGAACCUUGGGCCUGGCUGGCCGGUCCGCCUCACCGCGUGCACUGGUCCGGCCGGGCCUUUCCCUCUGCGGAACCGCAUGCCCUUCACUGGGUGUGCCGGGGAAGCAGGACUUUUACUUUGAAAAAAUUAGAGUGCUCCAGGCAGGCCUAUGCUCGAAUACAUUAGCAUGGAAUAAUAGAAUAGGACGCGUGGUUCUAUUUUGUUGGUUUCUAGGACCGCCGUAAUGAUUAAUAGGGACAGUCGGGGGCAUCAGUAUUCAAUUGUCAGAGGUGAAAUUCUUGGAUUUAUUGAAGACUAACUACUGCGAAAGCAUUUGCCAAGGAUGUUUUCAUUUAUCAGGAACGAAAGUUAGGGGAUCGAAGACGAUCAGAUACCGUCGUAGUCUUAACCAUAAACUAUGCCGACUAGGGAUCGGACGAUGUUAUUUUUUGACUCGUUCGGCACCUUACGAGAAAUCAAAGUGCUUGGGCUCCAGGGGGAGUAUGGUCGCAAGGCUGAAACUUAAAGAAAUUGACGGAAGGGCACCACCAGGGGUGGAGCCUGCGGCUUAAUUUGACUCAACACGGGGAAACUCACCAGGUCCAGACACAAUGAGGAUUGACAGAUUGA
rnacentral:rRNA from 1 species